rnacentral:rRNA from 1 species
UACAGAGGUCCCAAGCGUUGUUCGGAUUCACUGGGCGUAAAGGGUGCGUAGGUGGCGAGGAAAGUCGGAUGUGAAAGCUCGGAGCUCAACUCCGAAAUGGCAUUGGAAACUACCUUGCUCGAGGGUUGGAGGGGGGACUGGAAUACUUGGUGUAGCAGUGAAAUGCGUAGAUAUCAAGUGGAACACCAGUGGCGAAGGCGAGUCCCUGGACAACUCCUGACACUGAGGCACGAAAGCUAGGGGAGCAAACAGG